rnacentral:rRNA from 1 species
GGUACGGGGGGCGAAGCGUUGUUCGGAAUUACUGGGCGUAAAGGGCUCGUAGGUGGCCAACUAAGUCAGACGUGAAAUCCCUCGGCUUAACCGGGGAACUGCGUCUGAUACUGGAUGGCUUGAGUUUGGGAGAGGGACGCGGAAUUCCAGGUGUAGCGGUGAAAUGCGUAGAUAUCUGGAGGAACACCGGUGGCGAAGGCGGCGUCCUGGACCAACACUGACACUGAGGAGCGAAAGCCAGGGGAGCAAACGGG